UAUUGGACGGUGUGUUGCACGAAAAAAUUACGUCGAUAUCUCCAAGGUCAAGGUCACACUUAAAGUUUAAAGGUAAAAAAUGGCCAUAAAUGAGCUUGUCCGGGCCAUAACUAUGUUGUUCAUUGUGAGAUUUUAAAAUCAUAUGACUAAACUGGGCCUGUGAGAAGGCUUGUCUGGAGCUAUGCUGGCCACACAUAGCUUAACUUUAGCUGACAGGGUAGCUCCUGACUAAACUGGGCCUGUGAGAAGGCUUGUCUGGAGCUACGCUGGCCACACAUAGCUUAACUUUAGCUGACAGGGUAGCUACUGACUAAACUGGGCCUAUGAGAAGGCUUGUCUGGAGCUAGGCCGACCACAUAUAGCUUACCUUUAGCUGACAGUGUAGCUCCUGACUAAACUGAGCCUAUGAGAAGGCUUGUAUGGAGCUACGCUGGCCACACAUAGCUUAACUUUAGCUUACAGGGUAGCUCCUGACUAAACUGGGCCUGUGAGAAGGCUUGUCUGGAGCUACGCUGGCCACACAUAGCUUAACUUUAGCUGACAGGGUAGCUACUGACUAAACUGGGCCUGUGAGAAGGCUUGUCUGGAGCUACGCUGGCCACACAUAGCUUAACUUUAGCUGACAGGGUAGCUCCUGACUAAACUGGGCCUGUGAGAAGGCUUGUCUGGAGCUACGCUGGCCACACAUAGCUUAACUUUAGCUGACAGUGUAGCUCCUGUCUAAACUGGGCCUGUGAGAAGGCUUGUCUGGAGCUACGCUGGUCACACAUAGCUUAACUUAAGCUGACAGGGUAGCUCCUGACUAAACUGGGCCUGUGAGAAGGCUAGUCAUGGUAGCUCCUGACUAAACUGGGCCUAUGAGAAGGCUUGUCUGGAGCUACGCUGGCCACACAUAGCUUAACUUUAGCUGACAGGGUAGCUACUGACUAAACUGGGCCUGUGAGAAGGCUUGUCUGGAGCUACGCUGGCCACACAUAGCUUAACUUUAGCUGACAGGGUAGCUCCUGACUUAACUGGGCCUGUGAGAAGGCUUGUCAGGGUAGCUCCUGACUAAACUGGGCCUAUGAGAAGGCUUGUCUGGAGCUACGCUGGCCACACAUAGCUUAACUUUAGCUGACAGGGUAGCUCCUGACUAAACUGGGCCUAUGAGAAGGCUUGUCAUGGUAGCUCCUGACUAAACUGGGCCUGUGAGAAGGCUUGUCAGGGUAGCUCCUGACUAAACUGGGCCUAUGAGAAGGCUUGUAUGGAGCUACGCUGGCCACACAUAGCUUAACUUUAGCUGACAGGGUAGCUCCUGACUAAACUGGGCCUAUGAGAAGGCUUGUCAUGGUAGCUCCUGACUAAACUGGGCCUAUGUGAAGGCUUUUCCUGAGCUACGCUGGCCACACAUAGCUUAACUUUAGCUGACAGGGUAGCUACUGACUAAACUGGGCCUAUGAGAAGGCUUGUCUGGAGCCUAUGAGAAGGCUUGUCUGGAGUUACGCUGGCCACAUGUAGCUUAAGACCCGUUUUCUCAUGACGCCGCUCAUUUUAUUUAGAAAAUGCGUCCAAUUAGCUGUAAAUGUCAUCUACUACGUGCUUUUAGUGUUGCACAUGUGUUAGAAGUGUUAUAAAAAUGUUCAUGUUCUGACUGUUAGUAAGAAAUGUUAUCAUAUUGAACUAGGUAAAUGUUUUAUUAUUAGAAUCAUGUUUAUAAAUGUGUUUUUUUCAUAUGCUGUAUAUUCCUAAAAAUGAAAUAUGUUCUAAAAGCUUAGUAAAACCAUUUAUUGGUUAA